CUUGCUUCAGCAGAACAUACUAAAACUGGAAGAUUAGCAUACAGAGAAUAUUAGUAUGGCCCUGGCACAAGGAUAGCAUGCAAGUUUGUGAAGUGUUUCAUAUUUUU
rnacentral:snRNA from 1 species